GGGAGUGGCAACAAAUUCUGAGGAAUUUUGAUGGAGGUUGGAGUUGAUGUAUGGAUUUAGGGAGGGAUAUAGAAUACCAAUUGAUUGAGUAACUGAAGAAAUGUUGGAAUGGAACAGGGCCAAAAGUAAUGAUGCAAAGGACAGUGAGAUGAAACGUAAAAGGAAUCCAAAACCCAUGGUUUUAAGGAGAAAUCUAUUGUCUGAUGAAAAACCAGAGAUGGAGGGUAGGGGAGUGACGGAGUGGAGAGAAUGGGAAAAGGGACGCACAAGGGCGGGGUUUCAUUUUCAAAUGGGUGCACCUCCUCCAAUGUGAAAACAAAAUAAUCUCUCUCUCUCCCUCCCUAGAUUUGCCUCUAGAUUCGUGCUCCCUUUGCUCCUUUCCUUAACCUCCAAAGUCCCCACUCUCCCCCGUUCAACCCCACAACUCAAACGCCUUUCGAAACCCUUUGUUUUCUCUCUCUCUCUCUCUCUCUCUCUCUAAAACACACAUAUAAUUUUAGGGUUUUUCUAGUGACCUCUGCAAUUCGAUGUCGAGUCUUCCAUGGCCGUGGGGGGCCUCCGAGGUGUAUCGCAUGCCAGUGCAGUGCGCUGAGAGAUGGUUUGAACACAAAAGGAUUGAAGACAGCAGCAAUGCCUGCUGUGAGAAAUAUGUUUUGUUCCAACAACAUACAUGAAAGAAUUGUUGCAUCAGCGGCAGUUGGAAUUCAUGGAUUGAUAUAUGGCAGGUUUGGGAUAGGGAAUGAAGCCAUUGGUCCGCGUAGCCUUGUGAGAUUUGUAUCAUAUUGACAUCUUCUGUAAAGUAUUUAGCUAUUUUGAAAAUUUUUCGUUCAUAGAUAGAAUGCUGCAACUUAAACAUUUGUUCUCUUUUGGUUUUUGUGCUAUUCUAUAUUUUAAUAUAAUUGGAUCUCCCUCUCAUUCUCGUA